ensembl:rRNA 5S_rRNA 5S ribosomal RNA
AAAAACAGCCAUAUCACCCUGUAGCCCAAGACUGGUUGCCCACUGAAGCUAAGCAGGGUUGAGCCUGGUCAGUACCUGGAUGGGAGACCUCCUGGGAAAACUAGGUUGCUGUUGGAA